GGGAGGGGUGCGAGCGUUAAUCGGAAUUACUGGGCGUAAGGCGCGCGUAGGCGGCAAGGUCAGUCGGGAUGUGAAAGCCCCGGGCUUAACCUGGGAAUUGCAUUCGAAACUGCCCUCGCUAGAGUAUGGGAGAGGGAAGCGGAAUUUCCGGUGUAGCGGUGAAAUGCGUAGAUAUCGGAAGGAACACCAGUGGCGAAGGCGACUUCCUGGCCCAAUACUGACGCUCAGGUGCGAAAGCGUGGGUAGCGAACAGGAUUAGAUACCCUGGUAGUCCACGCCGUAAACGAUGAGAACUAGAUGUCGGGAGGAUUUACCUUUCGGUGUCGCAGCUAACGCAUUAAGUUCUCCGCCUGGGGAGUACGCCGGCAACGGUA
rnacentral:rRNA from 1 species